rnacentral:SRP_RNA from 1 species
GCUGGCCUUUAGUCACAGCUACUUAGGAAGCUGAGGCAAGAGAAUUGCUUGAGCCCAGGAGUUCUGGACUGUAGUGCACUAUGUCAGUUGGGUGUCUGCACUAAGUUUGGCAUCAAUAUGGUGACCUCCUGAGAGCAGGGAACCACCAUGUUGCCUAAGGAGGGGUGAACUGGCCCAGGUCUGAAACAGAACAGGUCAAAACCCCUAUGCUGAUCAGUAGUGACAUCGUGCCUGUGAAUAGCCAUUCCACUUCAGGCUGGGCAACAUAGCAAGACCUUAUCUCU